rnacentral:sRNA from 1 species
CGACAAUUAAUUAAAACAAACAUUGUGAAACAAACCAAAAUAUAUUUACGAUCCCAUAAAAUAAGCAAACCCCAAUUAUAUGUGCACCUAAACACAUUCCUUAUCUUGGUUUGAAUAUGCCAUAGAAUUAAAAGUCCAUCACUUUUUCGGCAUAAAAUCACAAUCACAACUAAUUCCACAACUAAUAUUUAAACUUAUAAAAAAA